UACAGAGGGUGCGAGCGUUGUUCGGAAUUAUUGGGCGUAAAGAGCUCGUAGGCGGUUUGUCGCGUCUGCUGUGAAAACCCGAGGCUCAACCUCGGGCCUGCAGUGGGUACGGGCAGACUAGAGUGCGGUAGGGGAGAUUGGAAUUCCUGGUGUAGCGGUGGAAUGCGCAGAUAUCAGGAGGAACACCAAUGGCGAAGGCAGAUCUCUGGGCCGUAACUGACGCUGAGGAGCGAAAGCAUGGGGAGCGAACAGG
rnacentral:rRNA from 1 species